rnacentral:lncRNA from 1 species
AAGUUCAUUUAAGGGCUUUACCGCUUUUCGUCAUAUCGAUAGGCACAUAUUAAUCUUGAAUACACAAUUUCAGUGACAUAUCGCGGAUAAUACAGAUAUCCAAAUUGCCCUUGUAGGUAUAAAAUGUGAUUAACUGGAAAAUUAAGUUAAAAACGCUUUAUAGCAUUGACAAUAUUAUCUGUUGCUUGGUAUAUAUGCAUAAAAUGUUCAGUUUCUAAACCUUGGCUGCAAAUCUCUUAUUAGCUUAGUUAAUUCGUGAGAAACGAAGCAGUCAAACUGUUUCAUGUUUCAAUUAG